rnacentral:rRNA from 1 species
UACGGAGGGUGCGAGCGUUGUCCGGAAUCACUGGGCGUAAAGGGCGCGUAGGCGGCGCGGAUAGUCAACGGUGAAAGCUUGGGGCUCAACCCCGAGUCGGCCGUCGAUACUUCCGCGCUUGAGCACUGUAGAGGCAGGCGGAAUUCCGGGUGUAGCGGUGGAAUGCGUAGAGAUCCGGAAGAACACCGGUGGCGAAGGCGGCCUGCUGGGCAGUUGCUGACACUGAGGCGCGACAGCGUGGGGAGCAAACAGG